rnacentral:rRNA from 1 species
UGGUGGAGUGAUUUGUCUGGUUAAUUCCGUUAACGAACGAGACCGCCGCCUGCUAAAUAGUUCUACUAAUCGUUUUUGAUUGGUUAAGAGCUUCUUAGAGGGACGUUCAUUCUUACAAGAUGAAGGAAGGAUGGCGGCAAUAACA